rnacentral:rRNA from 1 species
GACGAACGCUGGCGGCGUGCUUAACACAUGCAAGUCGAACGAAGUGGCGAACGGGUGAGUAACGCGUAAUCAACCUGCCCUUCAGAGGGGGACAACAGUUGGAAACGACUGCUAAUACCGCAUACUGAAGGAGGGGAUUGCGUCUGAUUAGCUAGUUGGUGGGGUAACGGCUCACCAAGGCAACGAUACCUAGCCGACCUGAGAGGGUGAUCGGCCACACUGGGACUGAGACACGGCCCAGACUCCUACGGGAGGCAGCAGUGGGGAAUCUUCCGCAAUGGACGAAAGUCUGACGGAGCAACGCCGCGUGAGUGAUGACGGCCUUCGGGUUGUAAAGCUCUGUUAAUCGGGACGCGGUACCGGAAUAGAAAGCCACGGCUAACUCCGUGCCAGCCGCCGCGGUAAUUC